UGGGGCCUCAGAAUUUCUGCAGUCUCUGGGAAGGAAGGGUUGGGCGUCCGCCCACACAACUGUUCCGCCAAAUACCACCGUUCAAAGUCCUCCAGGUAGAGAGAGAAUCGACAAGACAUGGGGCUGGCAGAGUGGGGCCUCUGCUGAUGCUGAAGAACUGGGUUCUAAAGAGCUGUGAGCCAGUCAUCUGGUGGGGACGACGCUGCCAGGCCCGUAAGGCUUCAGCAAUCACGGACGACAGAAGCAGCAGCCAACUCCCACAGUCUGUGGGGGUCAAGAUGACUUGAUCGACAGGAUCCUUCUCUGACAAAUCACCUAAAGGAAGAGAUAAGCUUGGCACAAUGAGGUUUUGAUGAAAGAGAAGAUAAAGGUUUGGGGUAAAAAAAGUUUGACUAUUUCAUUAAAAUGCAUCUAAGUGCUUACUCAUUUGUAUUUUAAAAUACCUAUAGCAAGG
rnacentral:lncRNA from 1 species